rnacentral:RNase_P_RNA from 1 species
GUGAAACAAGUUCACGUCGUGAGGAAGGUCCGUCCACCACAUUAUGGUUGUCUCUUGAAAGAGAGAUUGCUGUGAAGCAAAGCAACAGAACAGAAACGACACAGCUUUUACUGAACUAUGAACUUGCAGUGAGUUACGACGUAAAAGAUUUGAUGAAACGGCUGCCUCAACCGGUGCAACCCUUUAAGGGGCUUAGUUAAAUGUUAACAAGUUCUGUCUGUCGAAAGGCGGAGAACUACAGAAGAUGGCCUAUGCCUGACUUAC